CAAUACAAAUUCUGCAUUUGCUACAGAAGUCACUGAGUGCUCUGUCCUGACUGUGGAGUCCUUGCCCUCAUGUGGCUCCAGGGAGCAUAAGUGGGUAGCGGCUGGGUUAACCACAAACUGGCUGUAGAAGAUUGGCAUUAGCACUGCAAGCUACCUCUGGCUGCUCUUCCAGACUCUUUAAUGCUGUUGCUCAGGGCCUUUCCUCCAUAAGGAUGAAGAAACAGCGCCACAUGUAGAAAGUAACUGUCAAAGAUUACUCAUGAAGUCCAGGACACAGUAAGGAACUGUCCCUGUUGUCUGCCCUGAGAACAGCUCUCAUUUUAAUUCUUGAAUCAAUGCUAAUCACCAACUUAAUACAGAUUUUAUUAUCAUUCCCAAAAUUUCUUUGGUGUUUGGAAAAGAGAUGGGCUAACAGCUGCCUGAGGUAUCACAGAAAAGUCUUAGUUGUGUUAAAAUAAUCAUCCCGGAGUACAAAAUACACAGUUUAUUGUAUAUUUCUAUAUGAGAAGCAAGACUGUUUUAAGACACGUUGGAUUUAUGAAUCCUUAGUGAAAGGAUCCUCUUGCACCAUCGCUUUUCUCUGUUGGAGCUGUGAUUUUAUUAAUUUAUGCUUUUCAUGAUCUUGUGGGUUACCAGUAGGGCUUGAUGAAGGGGCUUCCUGAAAUGCACAGAAAUUCUGAGUAUUCUUGUUAUGCAUAUGCUAAAUGACCACUUAAAGGGAGUCUCUUUGAACUCAGUGGGAGAAGGAUAAAGUUUAUAAAGAAUUCUGUGUAACUUGCCAUCUGCUCUUCAAAUAUUAGGAAAAUAACAAGUGUAAAAUUAGGUAUUAUUUAAACCAGUUGUAAAGAGUUUGAAAGUAAUGCACUGAAAACCUAAGUUACAUUGAUUUUUUUUUUUUUUUUUGGUCAUGUUUUGCUCCCUGUCAUCAAUGUAAGAGAGAUUAUCUAAAGGACAGUUUUGUGCAAUUCAGAUACAACAGAAAGAUGGAAAACAAUCCCACUCUCACCAUCGUAAGUGACAUAGGGGACUUGAAAUCCUUUGCCACUGUUUCCUUCAUUUGACUUGAACUGAAUCCAUAGCUUCCUUGAUCUUGAAGUAAAUGCAAUAGGUCUCUCAUAAGUCUGACAUGUUUCAUAUGUAGUAAUUGAAGUAGGAGAAGCUAGGAAAGAUUAAAUAAAUAAAUGUUCUUUAUAAAAUAACUUUUUGCACCCUUCCUGAUCUUGAUGUCAAAAAUGUCAAAUUAACAAAACAUUGUGGUUUACAUAUUCCCAAGAGCAGAAAUGUUUGUGAUAGAAGGCACAUACUCUUUACCUGUUUAUGAGAGGAAGGAGGUUUUCCCACAAAGGUAAUGGAAAUCCUUCCCUCUGUCCCAAGACAAGAUGCUUACGUAGACAGCAAGGUGUACCGGAUUGUUUUUGAUAUUUGCAAAAUUACUAUCAAUAUUACUCACUCUGUAUACUAUCGGCCCCAGAUACACCAGAACAAGUCAGCUGCAUCCCAGGCAGAUGUGGUGACCAGCUCCUAACACUUCCAGUAUGGGGAGUUAACCUGAUAGUAACAAACAAUUACUGCCUGCAGAAGAGUUAACGUGCCUAUGCCCAGGCCUGUGCUGCACGUGCUGCAUGGCCUUUAGGUCUGUACUGUGCUGCACAAACCUUGUAGCUGCAGGAUCACCUCAGCCAGUGCCUGGUAGUAAGAAAAGCCUGCAUGCAGCUCCCAGUGGGCACUUGUGACAAUGCCUCCUACCUGUCCUUGCCUUUAUCUAGCAGUGCAGCAACAAGUUUUCAUGAGAACAUUGUUUUUGUUUGACAGUGGAAAUUAUGAUAGAGUUGUUUUCUUGUAAGAAAACCCCAUAAUAGUUUGAAUAGCCAAAAGGGGAAAGUCUCUUCUGCACACAGAGUCUGCCCAGCAUGCUGCGUAUGGAUCAGAGGUCCACUUGAUGCUACCACUGCCUAUGGUUCCCACCAUCUAGAGAUUAUCUAUACUAUUCUAUCCUUAUAGUGCUAGUUCUAAUUAAUAGCAUUUUAAGUGAUAUCUUACAGAGACUAAGUGCCUUUAUCAUAAUGAACAAAGACAUCUGUCUAUAAAUCUGCAAAGAAAAUAUCAGUUAUCUAUACUGAAAUAAAGCAGACAGUUUGGGAACCAGGAAAAGAAAAUUCCACUCCAUAGCCAGAGGAUAAUUAGGGAAAAUAACAAGCCUAAUCUAAAACCUGAACUUGCUAAGGCUGACAGCUUUCAUCGGUAUUAGCAAAAAGAGACCUUUUCAACUGAAUGUAAUUUGGAUAAGAUCUCGGAUGAAUUCUGGAGUAAAGAUUAUACUAAUUUGAGGUUAAACUUCAAUAUUUAUAAAGAAGUCUUAAGGAUGUAACUAUUACAAUGUCCAAAGACAAACAGUCUUUGCCAGACAGAAGAUGCAAAUUCUAUUUUUCUUAAAGAUUUGUAGAAAUUUUGAAGUGUUAUUUCUGUCCAGGUACAGAAAAUGCCAAUAUCCAACCAACUUAUCUAACAACACUAGAUCUACCUAUAGUAUUGCCCUGCAACAUACCUGUACAGUGAGUGUUUUUAAUGUGUUCCAGACUAGCGUGAAUUAAUUUUUAAAAGUUACUUCUUACUAUACAAAAGUGGCAGAGUUAAGGUGAUAUAGCAAGGCUAACAGCUGAAUAAAC